rnacentral:tRNA from 1 species
GGGCCCAUAGCUCAGCUGGUAGAGCAUCCGGUUUGCAUCCGGAAGGUCAGGAGUUCAAAUCUCCUUGGGUCCACCA